GUCUACAGCCAUCCCACCCUAAAUACACCUCUCAUCUGAUCUUGAAAGCUGAGCAGGGUCGGGCCUCAUUAGUACUCAGAUGGGAGAGAGAGGCUGGGGAGGCAGGAACA
rnacentral:rRNA from 10 species